rnacentral:rRNA from 1 species
AGACGGAGGAGGCAAGCAUUGUCCGGAAUUAUUGGGCGUAAAGAACACGUAGGCGGUUUAUCAAGUCAUAUGUGAAAACCUUGGGCUUAACUUAAGGAUUGCAUAUGAUACUGGUAAACUAGAGUAUAGUAGAGGAAAGCGGGAUUCCUGGUGUAGCGGUGAAAUGCGCAGAUAUCAGGAAGAACACCAGUGGCGAAAGCGGCUUUCUGGACUGUUACUGACGCUGAGGUGUGAAAGCUAGGGGAGCGAACAGGAUUAGAUACCCUGGUAGUCCUAGCUGUAAACGAUGGACACUAGGUGUGGGGAGUUAUCGACGCUCUCUGUGCCGAAGCUAACGCAUUAAGUGUCCCGCCUGGGGAGUACGGUCGCAAGACUAAA